UGCAUGCUCAAGAUUUCACUGUCUCUGCCAUGCAUGGAGAUAUGGACCAGAAGGAAUGAGACGGGAUCAUGAGGGAGUUUCAUUCUGGCUCUAGCAGAGUUUUGAUUAUCACUGACCUGCUGGGAAAACUAUAUCCACAGAAUCGGUCGACGUGGACAGUUUGGCCGUAAAGGUGUGGCUAUUAACAUGGUGACAGAAGAAGACAAGAGGACUCUUUGAGACAUCG
rnacentral:lncRNA from 1 species